rnacentral:rRNA from 1 species
CAGCCGCCGCGGUAAUACCGGCGGCCCGAGUGGCGGUCACUAUUAUUGGGCUUAAAGCGUCCGUAGCCGGGGUGGGAAGUCCUCCGGGAAAUCUGGCCGCUUAAAGGUCAGAAUGCCGGAGGAUACUCCCAGCCUAGGGAGCGGGAGAGGCCGAGGGGAUUCCCGGAGUAGGGGGGAAAUCCUAUAAUCCCGGGAGGACCACCGGUGGCGAAGGCGCUCGGCUGGAACGCGUCCGACGGUGAGGGACGAAGGCCAGGGGAGCAAACCGGACUAGAUACCCGGGUAGUCCUGGCUGUAAACGAUGCGGACUUUGUGUCGGACAAGCUAUGAGCUUGUCCGGUGCCGGAGGGAAACCGUUAAGUCCGCCGCCUGGGGAGUACGGCCGCAAGGCUGAAACUUAAAGGAAUUGGCGGG